rnacentral:misc_RNA from 1 species
GCGGUGUGUACAAAGGGCAGGGACGUAAUCAACGCAAGCUUAUGACUUGCGCUUACUGGGCAUUCCUGGUUCACGGAGAAUAAUUGCAAGCUCCGAUCCCUACCACGAAGGGGGUUCAGCGGGUUACCCGGACCUCUCGGUCAGGGAGGACACGCUGAUCCCUUCAGUGUAACACGCGUGCAGCCCAGAACAUCUAAGGGCAUCACAGA